AUGACCUGCACUAUAUUUAAGAAGCAGCCCACUUUCAAAGACAGAAUGUUAGGCAAGAUGGACCACACUUCUGCUUUGGAUCAGCAAACUCUGUGCUCACAGAGAAGGGUGAUUCCUCCUGUUUUUUGGAAGACUCAUACAGGCAGUCUGGCACGAAGUCUUUGUAGCAGAAGAUGGAUACGUUCCAUUACCUUGUCUUUUCCUGUUCUGAGCUUUCAGAUCUUCUCUGAGUCAGUAGUCUCUAUUGCCUGCUGA
rnacentral:lncRNA from 1 species